rnacentral:rRNA from 1 species
UACGGGGGGGGCAAGCGUUGUUCGGAAUUACUGGGCGUAAAGGGUGCGUAGGCGGGCCUUUAAGUCAGGGGUGAAAUCCUGGAGCUCAACUCCAGAACUGCCUUUGAUACUGAGGAUCUUGAGUACGGGAGAGGUGAGUGGAACUGCGAGUGUAGAGGUGAAAUUCGUAGAUAUUCGCAAGAACACCAGUGGCGAAGGCGGCGACCUGGUCCGCAACUGACGCUGAGGCGCGAAAGCGUGGGGAGCAAACAGG